rnacentral:rRNA from 1 species
AAAACAAACCUACGGGAGGCAGCAGUGGGGAAUAUUGCACAAUGGGCGCAAGCCUGAUGCAGCCAUGCCGCGUGUAUGAAGAAGGCCUUCGGGUUGUAAAGUACUUUCAGCGAGGAGGAAGGCGAUAAGGUUAAUAACCUUGUCGAUUGACGUUACUCGCAGAAGAAGCACCGGCUAACUCCGUGCCAGCAGCCGCGGUAAUACGGAGGGUGCAAGCGUUAAUCGGAAUUACUGGGCGUAAAGCGCACGCAGGCGGUCUGUCAAGUCGGAUGUGAAAUCCCCGGGCUCAACCUGGGAACUGCAUCCGAAACUGGCAGGCUAGAGUCUUGUAGAGGGGGGU